rnacentral:rRNA from 1 species
UACGUAGGGGGGCAAGCGUUGUCCGGAAUCAUUGGGCGUAAAGAGCGUGUAGGCGGCCCGAUAAGUCCGCUGUGAAAGUCCAGGGCUCAACCCUGGGAUGCCGGUGGAUACUGUCGGGCUCGAGUCCGGAAGAGGAGUGUGGAAUUCCUGGUGUAGCGGUGAAAUGCGCAGAUAUCAGGAGGAACACCGGUGGCGAAGGCGGCGACCUGGGUAGAUACUGACGCUGAGGCGCGAAAGCGUGGGGAGCAAACAGG